rnacentral:rRNA from 1 species
GACGAACGCUGGCGGCGUGCUUAACACAUGCAAGUCGAGCGAUGAAGCACCUUCGGGUGUGAAUUAGCGGCGAACGGGUGAGGAACACGUGAGAAAUCUGCCUUCAACUCUGGGAUAACUCCGUGAAAACGGGGCUAAUACCGGAUAUGAAACCUGCGGGCAUCCGCGGGUUUGGAAAGUUUUUCGGUUGAAGAUGAUCUCGCGGCCUAUCAGCGUGUUGGUGAGGUAAUGGCUCACCAAGGCGACGACGGGUAGCCGGCCUGAGAGGGCGACCGGCCACACUGGGACUGAGACACGGCCCAGACUCCUACGGGAGGCAGCAGUGGGGAAUAUUGGGCAAUGGAGGAAACUCUGACCCAGCGACGCCGCGUGCGGGAUGAAGGCCUUCGGGUUGUAAACCGCUUUCAGCAGCGAAGAAGCGAAAGUGACGGUACCUGCAGAAGAAGCACCGGCUAACUAUGUGCCAGCCGCCGCCGUAA